CCGAGACUCGGCAAUACCUUGAAGAGCUGAUGGCCCCGAAGGGCUAGUAAGAGCGGGAAGAAGGCAAAAGGGACCUCCCACGCCCGUAUCCAUCUCGGCCUGAGUAAAAGCUGCAACGACCCGAGGAAUCAGGUCACUUCCUUCUCAUUUCAUGCCUGGAGCAGCGGCGGCUGUACAAAUAACGUCGUUUACAAAACCAAUUCAGAAGGAUCAUAACUGGAAUUUAUGUCUCAUACAUCUAGAGAAGACAAAUUCUUUUUCAGAAGAGGAACUAGGGACUGAUUCUGAAAGUAAAGCAGGCUGAUUGCUGUUUGCUGCAAGGAGGCAAAAUUACUGGGAGGCAGAGGCAGAUUUCUUUUUCUUAUUUUCCUCACCAAAAAAG